UACGAAGGGUGCAAGCGUUACUCGGAAUUACUGGGCGUAAAGCGUGCGUAGGUGGUUUGUUAAGUCUGUUGUGAAAGCCCCGGGCUCAACCUGGGAAUGGCAAUGGAUACUGGCAGGCUAGAGUGCGGUAGAGGGUAGUGGAAUUCCCGGUGUAGCGGUGAAAUGCGUAGAGAUCGGGAGGAACACCAGUGGCGAAGGCGGCUCUCUGGGACGGUACUGACGCUGAGACGCGAAAGCGUGGGGAGCGAACAGG
rnacentral:rRNA from 1 species